rnacentral:hammerhead_ribozyme from 1 species
GUACUGUUGAAGAGUCCGACAAUAGGACGAAACGGCCGUCAAGCAA